rnacentral:rRNA from 1 species
CCUACGGGAGGCUGCAGUGAGGAAUAUUGGUCAAUGGCCGCAGGGCUGAACCAGCCAAGUCGCGUGAGGGAUGACGGUCCUAUGGAUUGUAAACCUCUUUUGUCAGGGAGCAAAGGGCGCCACGUGUGGCGCUUUGCGAGUACCUGAAGAAAAAGCAUCGGCUAACUCCGUGCCAGCAGCCGCGGUAAUACGGAGGAUGCGAGCGUUAUCCGGAUUUAUUGGGUUUAAAGGGUGCGCAGGCGGAAUGUCAAGUCAGCGGUAAAAUUUCGGGGCUCAACCCCGUCGUGCCGUUGAAACUGGCGUUCUUGAGUGAGCGAGAAGUAGGCGGAAUGCGUGGUGUAGCGGUGAAAUGCAUAGAUAUCACGCAGAACUCCGAUUGCGAAGGCAGCAUACCGGCGCUCAACUGACGCUCAUGCACGAAAGCGUGGGUAUCGAACAGGAUUAGAUACCCCAGUAGUC